rnacentral:pre_miRNA from 1 species
GGUGCACUCCAUCCGCCCAACAAAAGAUGUCUCAAGUUACUUAAAAUUUAGAUGUAUCUAGACAUGACUUAGUGUAUAGAUGCAUUUAAAUUUAUUCAAAAUUGAGACAUUUUUUGUUGGACGGAGGAAUACAAG